rnacentral:rRNA from 1 species
GGGGGGGGGGGGCUAAUACAUGCAAGUCGAGCGAAUGGAUUAAGAGCUUGCUCUUAUGAAGUUAGCGGCGGACGGGUGAGUAACACGUGGGUAACCUGCCCAUAAGACUGGGAUAACUCCGGGAAACCGGGGCUAAUACCGGAUAACAUUUUGAACUGCAUGGUUCGAAAUUGAAAGGCGGCUUCGGCUGUCACUUAUGGAUGGACCCGCGUCGCAUUAGCUAGUUGGUGAGGUAACGGCUCACCAAGGCAACGAUGCGUAGCCGACCUGAGAGGGUGAUCGGCCACACUGGGACUGAGACACGGCCCAGACUCCUACGGGAGGCAGCAGUAGGGAAUCUUCCGCAAUGGACGAAAGUCUGACGGAGCAACGCCGCGUGAGUGAUGAAGGCUUUCGGGUCGUAAAACUCUGUUGUUAGGGAAGAACAAGUGCUAGUUGAAUAAGCUGGCACCUUGACGGUACCUAACCAGAAAGCCACGGCUAACUACGUGCCAGCAGCCGCGGUAAUACGUAGGUGGCAAGCGUUAUCCGGAAUUAUUGGGCGUAAAGCGCGCGCAGGUGGUUUCUUAAGUCUGAUGUGAAAGCCCACGGCUCAACCGUGGAGGGUCAUUGGAAACUGGGAGACUUGAGUGCAGAAGAGGAAAGUGGAAUUCCAUGUGUAGCGGUGAAAUGCGUAGAGAUAUGGAGGAACACCAGUGGCGAAGGCGACUUUCUGGUCUGUAACUGACACUGAGGCGCGAAAGCGUGGGGAGCAAACAGGAUUAGAUACUGGGGGGAA